rnacentral:lncRNA from 1 species
UUAUCUGUUUCCUUUGGUGGGGUCAAGCUUACGUGAUUUUUUGUAAUACUCGAUUCUUUGCAUUGGUAUCUGUUCCAAUUUACUCUUCCAGACUUUACAGGUUUGCUUUGGCAGAGACACUCCUUCAUCAAUCAGUCCAGUUAAACCCAUUUUAGAAGGUGGUGAUGCAGGUGUGCUCCCAAAGUUAGGCCUAUAUUUUGGAAGCAAGCAAUCAGGUGUUUAAUAAGUAUUUCUAUGGAAAUAAAAAGAAAAACAAGGUUAAUGGCUGGAGCAAAUUAUAAACUAGUUCCUGAGUCUGGGAGGCAGCCAGUCAAGAAGACUUCCAGAUGUUAGAGUCAAAGCAUCUUUUGCAGCUUGAAAUGUCUCUGAUGAUGUCAUCAGGCAUUCAGGUAUUUUUCUGAGUGGCUUACAGCUUACAAAGCAACAGACAGGAAUCUCUCAAGUUUCUAUCAAGUUGUCCAGCUUUAGUUAGCAAGGCUUCAGGAAAAAGAGCGGGCUCAAUUCUCAAUGAUUCCAAAUGAAAAUGAGGUUAAAAAUUGAAAACAUUAGUUUGGAGAUUUGUAACCAGGUAUUUCAGUAGAAGAAUUCAGGAUCCAAUCCAGUUCACAGAUAGAAAAAAGACCUCAAAGACAACUAACAGAACUAGGAUCUCAUAUCCACAAAUGUGUAUUAUAGUUUUUCACUGAAACAUAAUUCUUCUCUCUAAAAUCACCCUCAUUUUUACCAAAGAUAGCCAAAUUGAGACUAAUUGGUUUGCAAUAUAAGUUUAGUUUCAAGAAACUUGGCCCAAUUAUUUACAUAAGUGCAGCAAGAAUAGCAAUUGAUCCUAUAGGCUCUUAAAUUUUCUUUCUGGAAUGUUUUUAUGAGGAAUCUCAGAUUGAACCUUAAAGAAUUCCCGAGGCCAGGAAAGCCAAGCCAAGGAUUUGUGCCAUCAGGCCUUGCCUGCAGUACCUUAGAUUUGGGUGGAUUUCUCUCUUGAGUUUCCCCAGAAUAUUUUGAGGUUCCUUGCACCUGCCAGAUAAGCAAUCUUCCUUACUUACCAGGUAAGAUUGCUGGAAUCUCUCUCUGUAAAGCAAGGUACCAGGCCCAUAUUUCCAAGUGGCUUUAUUUCCAGAAAGUCAACCUUAUUCCUCAAAGACAGUAUUGUCAUAUCUGAG